AUCAAGUUACGUUAACACCUUAACACCGUGUAAUCGCACCGAGAUGUCCCCAGAGACAGCCGAACGCCCCCCCCUCCGUAUGACCAUGACGACAGGUGGGAUGAUGAGUAUUGACCGCUCCAGAAGGAACCAGAGUUAUGGAGAUCCAGGGGAGAUGCCUGUUCACACAACCAGCAGGUCCACGGGUGAGAGCGAAACCCGUACCAGACGGGGGCGCUGACGCGUAACGCGAGGACAGAUAUUCAGGCUGAGGGGGGGCCCUCCUCGCCGGUCUGAGUGAAAAUGAACAUUAAUACAUCGCCAGACCAGCAGCGAGGGGGGAACAGCUGGGAUGGAGUGACUAGCAAAUGAACAAUUCUCCAUCUCUCUCCAUGCUCCACCUCAUCCCGCGCUUUCAGAUAGGAGAGAAAUACAGGCAGCCGGACUUUUUAUUAACACCGAAAGUGAUGACAUCGUCCCGGUCCGCUGAGCCUGAUCCCGUUGGUGCCUCGGAUUUCACUUGCUAAUGUCUGAUGGGAAUAGAUAUCCAGGAAAGUAGAAACCCAUUACCUGUAUGACGGUUUCGCACCCACGACACGCGGGGGUAAUUACUACAAAGGAGAAAGACGUUUCCUGACUGAAAUUCUCCCUGUUACAGCCCCAUAUACAAAUGUGAAUGAGUAUUUACUUUCAUUUCAUUUAUUCAAAGUGACAUUCAUUUUUGUGUGAGAGCAGGGUUAGUCAGUCCUUGGAGAAAUUGGGGUUAAGGGGCUUGUUCAAGGGCGCAGCAACCUUCCGAUCACAGCCGAGGCGUCCCAACCUGCUGAGCCUCACGCUGCCGCUGAUUAUCCCUCUACAGUUGGCAGUUUGCUGGUGGAAGCAUCCUGUCAGCAUUUUCUCUGUCACGGAGAGGAAUUAGACGAGGGAAACCCUCAGGUAUGGGGGCUCUCCUCUAAUCCGGUGCAGCUUCACGGCUGUGACUGUCAGCGGAGUCCCAUCGGUACUGAAACAGACGUUAAGACAGCAGCCUUUGGCGGGGGGGCUUUCUCCCACGGGAUGGCCAUGUUAAAAUCCCAUGCUGGCUUCUCUCAUUUGUUGGUUGUUUCCUUAGUCUGCCGUAUGACGGUUUUAACAGGUUUUAACAUAACAGAAACAACCAGCAUUUUCAUUUGGUCGAUUGCUUAUGGCGCGAAAUCUUUUUGAAUGAUGCCUGUUUAAACUGACAAAAUGCUUAAAUUCCAUACAAAACAAUCCACCCGUGGAGGCAAAUUGUUCCUGGAAGAACCUUACAGCCAUUGUAUCUCCAUAAUAUUUCUUCUGCUCAUAAUAAUGAGUUCAGAUGCUAACUUUAGUUCAAGGUCUGCUUGUCAAGCAUGCUGUUUUUUUGUUGAACAUUUCUGGUGGAUGAAAUAGCAUUUCAUUUGCAGCCUUGUACCUGAGUCCACAAUAGCUCGUGCUGCUGAAGAUGAGUCACAUGGCUGUGGAGGAAAGUCAAAGAUUUGUCACACUGCUUUUAGUCAAUUUCCGCAUUUUGGAAUAAAAGGAUUUUCUGAAA